GAUGAACGCUAGCUACAGGCUUAACACAUGCAAGUCGAGGGGUAACGAGAGGAAAGCUUGCUUUCCUUGUCGACGACCGGCGCACGGGUGAGUAACGCGUAUCCAACCUGCCCCCAACUAAGGAAUAACCUUGCGAAAGUAAGACUAAUACCUUAUAAUUUCCUCAGAUGUCAUCUGACGAGGAAUAAAGAUUUAUCGGUUGUGGAUGGGGAUGCGUCUGAUUAGCUUGUUGGCGGGGUAACGGCCCACCAAGGCAACGAUCAGUAGGGGUUCUGAGAGGAAGGUCCCCCAUAUUGGAGCUGAGACACGGUCCAAACUCCUACGGGAGGCAGCAGUGAGGAAUAUUGGUCAAUGGGCGGAAGCCUGAACCAGCCAAGUAGCGUGCAGGAUGACGGCCCUAUGGGUUGUAAACUGCUUUUAUACAGGAAUAAAGUUAGCCACGUGUGGUUAUUUGUAGGUACUGUAUGAAUAAGGACCGGCUAAUUCCGUGCCAGCAGCCGCAGUAA
rnacentral:rRNA from 1 species